rnacentral:tRNA from 1 species
AAUAAAAUGCCUGAUUAAAGGGUUAUCUUGAUAGGAUAAAUCAAGUACUACUAGUACUUUUAUUA